AGCUUUGCGCAGUGGCAGUAUCGUAGCCAAUGAGGUUUAUCCGAGGCGCGAUCAUUGCUAAUAGAAAGUGAAUAUAUAUGUGCAUGCAUAUUUAUGUGUGGGGGUAAAGGAUAAAUAAAAUAAAGAUAUUAAGACAGCUUUUUAAAGU